CUGAGAAUGUUUGAACAGGCAAAAUGAAGCCAAGACGUACAUUUGGCUAAGCAUACUAAACAUAUUUUCUUUUCAAGAUAAUCCAAACAGAAAGCCUCAGCUUUCUGGAGAAUGGAGAUGGUGUGUCAAAGGCCAAAAUUGGACUAAUGAAUGCAGAUCAACGAGGAACUGGGAAAUGCCCUGUGGGACCUCAUGCAGGCUCCAAUAUCAAAUUUGGUUCAAUCAUUCUCUGUCAGCAUCAGAGAAACUCAUCCACAGAGCAAUUAAAAGACUUAAUACAUGCUGUUAGAAACCACACUGCUCUGGAUAUGAUUAAGGACAGAGCAGCUUCAAUAAAUACAACAAAAAGUU